UUGCACGCUGGCGGCAGGCCUAACACCUGCAAGUCGAGCGGAUGAAGGGAGCUUGCUCCUGGAUUCAGCGGCGGACGGGUGAGUAAUGCCUAGGAAUCUGCCUGGUAGUGGGGGAUAACGUCCGGAAACGGGCGCUAAUACCGCAUACGUCCUGAGGGAGAAAGUGGGGGAUCUUCGGACCUCACGCUAUCAGAUGAGCCUAGGUCGGAUUAGCUAGUUGGUGGGGUAAAGGCCUACCAAGGCGACGAUCCGUAACUGGUCUGAGAGGAUGAUCAGUCACACUGGAACUGAGACACGGUCCAGACUCCUACGGGAGGCAGCAGUGGGGAAUAUUGGACAAUGGGCGAAAGCCUGAUCCAGCCAUGCCGCGUGUGUGAAGAAGGCCUUCGGAUUGUAAAGCACUUUAAGUUGGGAGGAAGGGCAGUAAGUUAAUACCUUGCUGUUUUGACGUUACCAACAGAAUAAGCACCGGCUAACUUCGUG
rnacentral:rRNA from 1 species